UUUCUUCCCUUAUUAAGCAAAACAACCAACCCUAAUCUUAUAUUUUCCUCCCUCAAAACAAAACAACCGCCUCUAUAGCCCUCUCUUCUUUCUCACUGAAAAACAACAACCACAUCAAGCCGCCGCCGCCGCUUCGCACCAGUCGACGGAACCCCACUUCCCUUCUCUCAUUUCUUUUACUCUAGUGAAUUCACCAAAUGGACGCUGUUCAAUCAACAAAACCCUACAACAGCCAAUACUUCCACCGCCAGUGAAUCCAAGUCAGCCAUAUCGCGGCCAAAAUAAUACCGGAGCUCCAUCGGCAAACCCAACAAAAACUCACUAUCGCCGCUGCUCCAUCAACAAAAACAUCUUGCUAUCUUGUACGUGAGAUUUUUGGUACUUGGAAUUCCAAAAAACCACCGUCGUAAGCAUGGAUCAAGGUACUAAUUCUACCAGUAAGAUUGGGUGUACCGACUUGGCAUAGGCAACAACAAAUGCGAAAGAGAGAUCUCACUGUGCACAACUCCUUUGAAUCUUAUAUGUAGAAUCUGUACAGGCCACAUGAGAACAGAAGAACCUGAGAACAUUUGAAAAGAAGAUAUUGUGAUCAUGUAGAUACAUAGAGAACAUAUAUGUGUAGUAUGAAGGUUCCUAUGUCUGCUAGUACUAGACUUCAACUACUUCUAUAUUUUCUUUAUAACUUAGAAGAGGUGUCGUAUUUGAGUUUUUCUUCUUUUGGACAGAAAUCUAUAGUUAGAUUGAUAUGAAUUUUUAAGACGUGAUUGGUGGUUAAUGAAAAAAGUUUUGUUGCCAACAAA